UGGGGAAUAUUGCACAAUGGGCGAAAGCCUGAUGCAGCAACGCCGCGUGAGUGAUGAAGGCCUUCGGGUUGUAAAGCUCUGUCUUUUGGGACGAUAAUGACGGUACCAAAGGAGGAAGCCACGGCUAACUACGUGCCAGCAGCCGCGGUAAUACGUAGGUGGCAAGCGUUGUCCGGAUUUACUGGGCGUAAAGGAUGCGUAGGCGGAUUUUUAAGUGAGAUGUGAAAACCCUAAGCUUAACUUGGGGACUGCAUUUCAUACUGGAAAUCUAGAGUGCGGGAGAGGAGAAUGGAAUUCCUAGUGUAGCGGUGAAAUGCGUAGAGAUUAGGAAGAACACCAGUGGCGAAGGCGAUUCUCUGGACCGUAACUGACGCUGAGGCAUGAAAGCGUGGGUAGCAAACAGGAUUAGAUACCCUGGUAGUCCACGCCGUAAACGAUGAGUACUAGGUGUAGGAGGUAUCGACCCCUUCUGUGCCGCAGUUAACACAAUAAGUACUCCGCCUGGGAAGUACGAUCGCAAGAUUAAAA
rnacentral:rRNA from 1 species